AGCGAACGCUGGCGGCAGGCUUAACACAUGCAAGUCGAGCGGGCAUAGCAAUAUGUCAGCGGCAGACGGGUGAGUAACGCGUGGGAACGUACCUUUUGGUUCGGAACAACACAGGGAAACUUGUGCUAAUACCGGAUAAGCCCUUACGGGGAAAGAUUUAUCGCCGAAAGAUCGGCCCGCGUCUGAUUAGCUAGUUGGUGAGGUAAUGGCUCACCAAGGCGACGAUCAGUAGCUGGUCUGAGAGGAUGAUCAGCCACAUUGGGACUGAGACACGGCCCAAACUCCUACGGGAGGCAGCAGUGGGGAAUAUUGGACAAUGGGCGCAAGCCUGAUCCAGCCAUGCCGCGUGAGUGAUGAAGGCCCUAGGGUUGUAAAGCUCUUUUGUGCGGGAAGAUAAUGACGGUACCGCAAGAAUAAGCCCCGGCUAACUCGUGCCAGCAGCCGCGGUAAU
rnacentral:rRNA from 1 species